rnacentral:ncRNA from 2 species
UACGGGGGGUGCGAGCGUUGUCCGGAAUCACUGGGCGUAAAGGGCGCGUAGGUGGUCUUGUAAGUCUGUGGUGAAAGCCCGGGGCUCAACCCCGGGUCUGCCGUGGAUACUGCGAGACUUGAGUGCUGUAGAGGCAGGUAGAAUAUCGGGUGUAGCGGUGGAAUGCGUAGAGAUCCGAUAGAAGACCGGUGGCGAAGGCGGCCUGCUGGGCAGUAACUGACACUGAGGCGCGACAGCGUGGGGAGCAAACAGG